GCUUGGCUGCAAGAAAAACGAAUGUCUGAAGGUGGUCCUAUUCUCAACAGAAAUAAUACUGCCGAGCUUAAAUGAAUGUUGUUGUUUCUUUGUUUCCUCUAGAAAAAUCGGGGAUCUACAAAACGACUUGUUGAGCUCUUCUCAAAGUCUAGCUAAAGUAGAAGAGAGCUACGCAGCACUGCAGAGGGAGGUGGAGAGGCAACUUCAGGAGGCAGCUCAAAACUAUCAGGGCAAACUUGCCCAACAGCAGGAGCAAAUAGUAGAAUUAAAUGCAACACUAGACAAAUUGAAAUCUAAAACAUCACAGCAGCUAGAGACAUUAGAAUCAGAGAAAAAAGAAAUGGUUGCCGCCAAGGAGGCAGAGGUCAAGUCACUACAGCAGCAAGUGAGUCAACUGAAUGAAGAGUUGACCAAACAGCAAGACAAGACAACAGCACACAAGCAGUUGUUGGAUAAGGUCACAGCCGAGAAGGAGGCUAUGCAGUAUGAGAAACAGCAGGCAGAGAAACACUUGAAGAGAGU
rnacentral:sRNA from 1 species